UCGAAACUGGCAGGCUUGAGUCUUGUAGAGGGGGGUAGAAUUCCAGGUGUAGCGGUGAAAUGCGUAGAGAUCUGGAGGAAUACCGGUGGCGAAGGCGGCCCCCUGGACAAAGACUGACGCUCAGGUGCGAAAGCGUGGGGAGCAAACAGGAUUAGAUACCCUGGUAGUCCACGCCGUAAACGAUGUCUACUUGGAGGUUGUGCCCUUGAGGCGUGGCUUCCGGAGCUAACGCGUUAAGUAGACCGCCUGGGGAGUACGGCCGCAAGGUUAAAACUCAAAUGAAUUGACGGGGGCCCGCACAAGCGGUGGAGCAUGUGGUUUAAUUCGAUGCAACGCGAAGAACC
rnacentral:rRNA from 1 species